rnacentral:rRNA from 1 species
CGCUAUCAUCCUACGGGAGGCAGCAGUGGGGAAUAUUGCACAAUGGGCGCAAGCCUGAUGCAGCCAUGCCGCGUGUGUGAAGAAGGCCUUCGGGUUGUAAAGCACUUUCAGUCGUGAGGAAGGUAGUGUAGUUAAUAGCUGCAUUAUUUGACGUUUAGCGACAGAAGAAGCACCGGCUAACUCCGUGCCAGCAGCCGCGGUAAUACGGAGGGUGCGAGCGUUAAUCGGAAUUACUGGGCGUAAAGCGCAUGCAGGUGGUUUGUUAAGUCAGAUGUGAAAGCCCGGGGCUCAACCUCGGAAUUGCAUUUGAAACUGGCAGACUAGAGUACUGUAGAGGGGGUAGAAUUUCAGGUGUAGCGGUGAAAUGCGUAGAGAUCUGAAGGAAUACCGGUGGCGAAGGCGGCCCCCUGGACAGAUACUGACACUCAGAUGCGAAAGCGUGGGGAGCAAACAGGAUUAGAUACCCUGGUAG